rnacentral:rRNA from 1 species
GUGGGGAAUAUUGGGCAAUGGAGGGAACUCUGACCCAGCGACGCCGCGUGCGGGAUGAAGGCCUUCGGGUUGUAAACCGCUUUCAGCAGGGAAGAAGCGAAAGUGACGGUACCUGCAGAAGAAGCACCGGCUAACUAUGUGCCAGCAGCCGCGGUAAUACAUAGGGUGCAAGCGUUGUCCGGAAUUAUUGGGCGUAAAGAGCUCGUAGGUGGUUCGUCACGUCGGAUGUGAAAAUCUGGGGCUUAACCCCAGACCUGCAUUCGAUACGGGCGAGCUAGAGUGUGGUAGGGGAGACUGGAAUUCCUGGUGUAGCGGUGGAAUGCGCAGAUAUCAGGAGGAACACCAAUGGCGAAGGCAGGUCUCUGGGCCAUUACUGACACUGAGGAGCGAAAGCGUGGGGAGCGAACAGGAUUAGAUACCCGUGUAGUCC